AAGUCACAGGAAGGAUCCCAGUUUGUGAAAGGAUUUGGAGGAAUUGGAGGUAUCUUGCGGUACCGAGUGGACUUCCAGGGAAUGGAAUACCAAGGAGGAGACGAUGAAUUUUUUGACCUUGAUGACUACUAGGUAGUCGACCUGGGUCCGGCAAAACGUGCCUCACCCCUCCAGCAUCCAACCCAAGGAGAAAGCUUGCGAUGGAAUACAAAACAGAUCCCUGCCUUAGAAUUGGAGUUUUUCCAGAACUUUAUCCAGAACACCGGGUUUAAAA